CUCUUUCGCCUGUGAAGAUAAUGACGGUAGCAGGUAAAGAAACCCCGGCUAACUCCGUGCCAGCAGCCGCGGUAAUACGGAGGGGGUUAGCGUUGUUCGAAUUACUGGGCGUAAAGCGCACGUAGGCGGACUGGAAAGUUGGGGGUGAAAUCCCAGGGCUCAACCCUGGAACUGCCUCCAAAACUCAGUCUAGAGUUCGAGAGAGGUGAAGUGGAAUUCCCAGUGUAGAGGUGAAAUUCGUAGAUAUUCGGAGGAACACCAGUGGCGAAGGCGCUCACAUGGCUCGAUACUGACGCUGAGGUGCCAAAGUGUGGGGAGCAAACAGGAUUAGAUACCCUGUGUAGUCCACACCGUAAACGAUGAAUGCCAGUCGUCGGGUAGCAUGCUAUUCGGUGACACACCUAACGGAUUAAGCAUUCCGCCUGGGGAGUAC
rnacentral:rRNA from 1 species